rnacentral:rRNA from 1 species
UACGUAGGGGGCAAGCGUUGUCCGGAUUUAUUGGGCGUAAAGAGCUCGUAGGCGGUUUGUCGCGUCUGCCGUGAAAGUCCGGGGCUCAACUCCGGAUCUGCGGUGGGUACGGGCAGACUAGAGUGUGGUAGGGGAGACUGGAAUUCCUGGUGUAGCGGUGAAAUGCGCAGAUAUCAGGAGGAACACCGAUGGCGAAGGCAGGUCUCUGGGCCAUAACUGACGCUGAGAAGCGAAAGCAUGGGGAGCGAACAGG